GGAGGAAAUAAUACAAUUCACAAAGUUGUUAUAAUGCUAUAAGACCCAAUGAUACGACAUUAACUUUCAUUAGCAAUCAAAGGACACUGAGAGCCAACGGCCUUGUCCCUGCCUAGGUCUUAGGGGAGAGGGGGAGCAUGCAUAGCCUGUUAUAAUGCUAUAAGACCCAAUGAUACGACAUUAACUUUCAUUAGCAAUCAAAGGACACUGAGAGCCAACGGCCUUGUCCCUGCCUAGGUCUUAGGGGAGAGGGGGACCAUGCAUAGCCUGUUAUAAUGAGACAUAAAAACAUUUAUCGAAGGAAUAAUGCACUUUGUUUGGGGCGGCAGGGUAGCCUAGUGGUUAGAGCGUUGGACUAGUAACCGAAAGGUUGCAAGUUCGAAUCCCCGAGCUGACAAGGUACAAAUCUGUCUUUCUGCCCCUGAACAGGCAGUUCCUGUUCCCAGGCCGUCAUUGAAAAUAAGAAUUUGUUCUUAACUGACUUGCCUAGUAAAAUAAAGGUAAAAUUUAAAAAUUAAAAUUCAUUAGUCCACUGUCUAUUAAUUUCUUUUACAUUUAUUUUACUAGGCAAGUCAGUUAAGAACAAAUUCUUAUUUUCAAAGAUGGCCUAGGAACAGUGGGUUAACUGGUCUAGGAACAGUGGGUUAACUGGUCUAGGAACAGUGGGUUAACUGGUCUAGGAACAGUGGGUUAACAGGUCUAGGAACAGUGGGUUAACUGGUUAACUGGUCUAGGAACAGUGGGUUUUGACUGUAUGUUUUGUUUACUCCAUUACAGAAACCCAGGUCUAAAUGGAUCCAAUCAAGGCCACAGUAAGAAAACACAAAGGAACAAACCUAAAUGCCUGAGGAUGUGUUGUAUGGGUCGAAUUUGCUAUGCUUAAUCUUGGCCAGGUCGCAGUUGUAAAUGAGAACUUGUUCUCAACUAGCCUACAUGGUUAAAUAAAGGUGAAAUAAAAUAAAUAAAUACAAAUAAAUGGUUUAAUCCCAUGUUUCAUGAGCUGAAAUAAAAGAUCCCAGAAAUGUGCAUAAAAAAAAGCUUAUUUCAAUCAAAUGUUGUGCACAAAAUGUGUUUAUAUCCCUGUUAGUGAACAUUUCUCCUUUGCCAAUAUAAUCCAUCCACCUGAGAGGUGUGGCAUAUCAAGAAGCGGAUUAAACAGCGUGAUCAUUACACAGGUGCACCUUGUGCUGGGGGACAAUAGAAGGCCACUAUAAUGUGCAGUUUUGUCACAAUACAACACUACAUACACUGCCUUGGGAAAGUAUUCAGACCCCUUUGUUAGGCCGUAGCCCUAUUCUAAAAUGGAUUCUACACACAAUACUCCAUAAUGACAAAGCAAAAACAGGUUUUUAGAACAUUUUCUAAAUAAUAGUAAUAUGACAUUUACAUAAGUAUUCAGACCCUUGACUCAGUACUUUGUUGAAGCACCUUUGGCAGUGAUUACAGCCUCCAGUCUUCUUGGGUAUGACGCUGCAAGCUUGGCACAUCUGUAUUUGGGGAGUUUCUCCCAUUCUUCAUUGUAGAUCCUCUCAAGCUCUGUCAGGUUGGAUGGGGAGCGUUGCUGCACAGCUAUUUUCAGGUCUCUACAGAGAUGUUCGAUCGGGUUCAAGUCCAGGUUCUGGCUGGGCCACGAGAACAUGCAGAGACUUGUCCCGAACCCACAAACACAUUGUCUUGGCUGUGUGCUUAGGGUUGUUGUCCUGUUGGAAGGUGAACCUUUACCCCAGUCUGAGGUCAUAAGCGCUCUGGAGCAGGUUUUCAUUAAGGAUCUCUGUACUCCGUUCAUCUUUUAAAAAUGUUAAUAAAUGUAAAAACCCCCCCAUCUUUGCCUCGAUCCUGACUAGUCUCCCCGUCCCUGAAAAACCUCCCCACAGCAUUGUGCUGCCACCACCAUGCUUCACCGUAGGAAUGAUGCCAGGUUUCCUCUAGACGUGACGCUUGGCAUUCAGGCCAAAUAGUUCAAUAUUGGUUUCAUCAGACUAGAGAAUCUUGUUUCUCAUGAUCUGGGUCCUUUAGGUGCCUUCUGGCAAACUCCAAGUGGGCUGUCAUGUGCCAUUUACAGAGGAGUGGCUUCCGUCUGGCCACUCGACCAUAAAGGCCUGAUUGGUGGAGUUCUGCAGAGAUGGUUGUCCUUCUGGAAGGUUUAGAGUUCUCCACAGAGGAACUCUAAAGCUCUGUCAGAGUGACCAUUGGGUUCUUGGUCACCUCCCUGACCAAGGACGUACUGCCCUGAUUGUGGUUAGAGGCGGCAGGUAGCCUAGUAGUUAGAGGAGGCAGGUAGCCUAGUGGUUAGAGGCGGCAGGUAGCCUAGUGGUUAGAGGCGGCAGGUAGCCUAGUGGUUAGAGGAGGCAGGUAGCCUAGUGGUUAGAGGAGGCAGGUAGCCUAGUGGUUAGAGGAGGCAGGUAGCCUAGUGGUUAGAGGAGGCCGGUAGCCUAGUGGUUAGAGGAGGCCGGUAGCCUAGUGGUUAGAGGAGGUAGGUAGCCUAGUGGUUAGAGGAGGCAGGUAGCCUGGUGGUUAGAGGGGAGCAGGUAGCCGAGUGGUUAGAGGAGGCAGGUAGCCUAGUGGUUAGCGGAGGCACGUAGCCUGGUGGUUAGAGGAGGCAGGUAGCCUAGUGGUUAGAGGAGGCAGGUAGCCUGGUGGUUAGAGGGGAGUAGGUAGCCUGGUGGUUAGAGGAGGCAGGUAGCCUGGUGGUUAGAGGGGAGCAGGUAGCCGUGUGGUUAGAGGAGGCAGGUAGCCUGGUGGUUAGAGGAGGCAGGUAGCCUGGUGGUUAGAGGGGAGCAGGUAGCCUGGUGGUUAGAGGGGGCAGGUAGCCGGGUGGUUAGAGGAGGCAGGUAGCCUGGUGGUUAGAGGAGGCAGGUAGCCUGGUGGUUAGAGGAGGCAGGUAACCUAGUGGUUAGAGGAGGCAGGUAGCCUGGUGGUUAGAGGGGAGUAGGUAGCCUGGUGGUUAGAGGGGAGUAGGUAGCCUGGUGGUUAGAGGAGGCAGGAAGCCUGGUGGUUAGAGGGGAGCAGGUAGCCGAGUGGUUAGAGGAGGCAGGUAGCCUAGUGGUUAGAGGAGGCACGUAGCCUGGUGGUUAGAGGGGAACAGGUAGCCUAGUGGUUAGAGGGGAGCAGGUAGCCUAGUGGUUAGAGGAGGCAGGUAGCCUAGUGGUUAGAGGAGGCAGGUAGCCUGGUGGUUAGAGGAGGCAGGUAGCCUAGUGGUUAGAGGGGAGCAGGUAGCCUGGUGGUUCGAGGAGGCAGGUAGCCUGGUGGUUCGAGGAGGCAGGUAGCCUAGUGGUUAGAGGGGAGCAGGUAGCCUAGUGGUUAGAGGGGAGCAGGUAGCCUAGUGGUUAGAGGGGAGCAGGUAGCCUAGUGGUUAGAGGGGAGCAGGUAGCCUAGUGGUUAGAGGGGAGCAGGUAGCCUAGUGGUUAGAGGGGAGCAGGUAGCCUAGUGGUUAGAGGGGAGCAGGUAGCCUAGUGGUUAGAGGGGAGCAGGUAGCCUAGUGGUUAGAGGGGAGCAGGUAGCCUAGUGGUUAGAGGGGAGCAGGUAGCCUAGUGGUUAGAGGGGAGCAGGUAGCCUAGUGGUUAGAGGGGAGCAGGUAGCCUAGUGGUUAGAGGGGAGCAGGUAGCCUAGUGGUUAGAGGGGAGCAGGUAGCCUAGUGGUUAGAGGGGAACAGGUAGCCUAGUGGUUAGAGGGGAGCAGGUAGCCUAGUGGUUAGAGGGGAGCAGGUAGCCUCCUUUAACAGUCUAAGCGCCACUGUCAUUAACACUAACCUUGGGGCCAAAGAGAGAACGUUUUAAAAAGACUUAAACUUAAAUCGAACCACACAUUGACCUAGAGAUGUAAAAUAUCACCUGCAUCGUUUACCUUCAAUGACCUUGUCAACCUUGAUGGCCUGUAACAAAAUAUUCUCUCUCAGUCAGUAGCAGAGGGUAUAAAUACACCACUGUGGAUGCAUUCACACAGUUGGGAGAGCUACAGUGUUGAGGGUAUAAAUACACCACUGUGGAUGCAUUCACACAGUUGGGAGAGCUACAGUGUUGAGGGUAUAAAUACACCACUGUGGAUGCAUUCACACAGUUGGGAGAGCUACAGUGUUGAGGGUAUAAAUACACCACUGUGGAUGCAUUCACACAGUUGGGAGAGCUACAGUGUUGAGGGUAUAAAUACACCACUGUGGAUGCAUUCACACAGUUGGGAGAGCUACAGUGUUGAGGGUAUAAAUACACCACUGUGGAUGCAUUCACACAGUUGGGAGAGCUACAGUGUUGAGGGUAUAAAUACACCACUGUGGAUGCAUUCACACAGUUGGGAGAGCUACAGUGUUGAGGGUAUAAAUACACCACUGUGGAUGCAUUCACACAGUUGGGAGAGCUACAGUGUUGGCAGACUGUCAAAGGUUAUUAGUAUCCAACCCUUCUGAAGAGAGAGAGGGGGAGGGGGGUAUUGGGUUAUACGAGAGACGGCAGGGUGAGUUGGGAGGGAAGAUGAGGAGAUUGACAGCAACACAGGAAGUUGAAGGGGGACGAGGAGUGAAACCUAAUGUUUGUCCCGGGGGCGGGGGCGGAACGAGAGAAGGAAACAGUCAGAUGUAGGGAUUGGGGGAACGGUUAUCUUGGAAACAAACGGGUAACAUGUUCUAUCUAAGGCAGGCUUUUGUUCCAACCCUGCUCCAAUAGACCCGACUCAGGUGCUCAAAGUCCUGCUCAGCGGCGGGUUAGUACAUUCGGCUGUGCUAGAGCAGGGCUGGAACAAAAACCCUGCACACCUGUAGUUGGGACGCAUUUCUGUGUCUAACCUCCACCCAGCCGGAUAGUUAAAAACUCCAGAAAGACGUUCUCUAGACUAAGCAGAUCCCCACCCAGUACCUUUCAGAUUAUAGGGGUUGUUGUGGUGUCAGUUCA